ensembl:misc_RNA Metazoa_SRP Metazoan signal recognition particle RNA
GCUGGGCGUGAUGGCUCACGCCUGUAAUCUCAGCACUUUGGGAGGCUGAGGUAGGAGAAUCACUUGAGCCCAGGAGUUCAUGACUAGCCUGGACAACAUAGUGAGACUCCAUCUCUU